GGUAGCAUAAUCAUUAGUCUUUUAAUUGGAGACUGGUAUGAAUGGCUAAACGAGAGAUCAACUUUUUUUACCGUAAAAAUUGAAUUUAACUUUUUAGUGAAAAGGCUAAAAUUUUUCAGAAAGACGAGAAGACCCUAUAGAGUUUUAUAAAGGACUAAUACUUUUUAUUUGGAUUUUUAUAAAAAAUAUUAAUAAAUUUAUUUUGUUGGGGCGACAUUUAGAUAAAAAAAACUCUUUAUAAGAAAAAUUUUUAUGAAAAUAUGGAUUGAUCCUUUUAAAAAGAUCAUAAGAAAAAAUUACCUUAGGGAUAACAGCGUAAUCUUUUUUGAGAGUUCUAAUCGACAAGAAGGUUUGCGACCUCGAUGUUGGACUAAAAUUAGGGCAGGGU
rnacentral:rRNA from 1 species